rnacentral:rRNA from 1 species
CAGUAGCCACGGUAAAACGAAGGGGGCUAGCGUUGUUCGGAUUUACUGGGCGUAAAGCGCACGUAGGCGGACUUUUAAGUCAGGGGUAAAAUCCCGGGGCUCAACCCCGGAACUGCCUUUGAUACUGGAAGUCUUGAGUAUGGUAGAGGUGAGUGGAAUUCCGAGUGUAGAGGUGAAAUUCGUAGAUAUUCGGAGGAACACCAGUGGCGAAGGCGGCUCACUGGACCAUUACUGACGCUGAGGUGCGAAAGCGUGGGGAGCAAACAGGAUUAGAUACCCGUGUAGUCCCUGUCUCUUAUAC